rnacentral:rRNA from 1 species
CACGUAGGGCGCAAGCGUGGUCCGGAAUUAUUGGGCGUAAAGAGCUCGUAGGCGGUCUGUUGCGUCCGCUGUGAAAACCCGGGGCUUAACCCCUGGCUUGCAGUGGAUACGGACAGACUAGAGGUAGGUAGGGGAGAAUGGAAUUCCCGGUGUAGCGGUGAAAUGCGCAGAUAUCGGGAGGAACACCGGUGGCGAAGGCGGUUCUCUGGGCCUUACCUGACGCUGAGGAGCGAAAGCGUGGGGAGCGAACAGG